rnacentral:rRNA from 1 species
CCUACGGGAGGCAGCAGUGGGGAAUAUUGCACAAUGGGCGCAAGCCUGAUGCAGCGACGCCGCGUGGGGGAUGANGGCCUUCGGGUUGUAAACUCCUUUCGCUAGGGANGAAGCUCAGAGUGACG